ensembl:lncRNA
UUACAUGGGAAUGUAAUGAAGGUUAAUAAUGUCACUUUACUCAAACCUAAUUGGGCACAUGUGUGCUGGUAUCGUGGACACCGCUAACCUUGUUCGCCUUUGUUACAGCGCUUUUUCCCGUCGAGGUAGCGGGACUCAUAGUUAUUACUGCGCACUUAUCCUGCUUUUACAGCGGCUUAUAACUUGUGUGGACUGCACGUGUAAUGUAAACCACACGUCUCCUCUCCGUUGUGGCCUCAAUUUCUUUAAUUGUGUCUGCUAGUUGACGUGAUAUUUAUCGGCGUUGUAACGUUACUUCGCAUUGGACUGACGCGUACCACGUGUCCGGAAGUAAACAAGGAGACGCAUUUGCAAACACACGUUUAACGUGAAUGUCGCAAACAAAAUCGUACCGGUGGUACAUUGUCGCUAUUUUACACUCUUGUUGUUUUAUUUGGGGUUAAUAAAGUUGUAGUUCAGUCCGCGAACCAUCCGUGAGAGUGUCUGUGAGGGGAAUGACCUCCUCAUCUCCGACGUGAUGUCGCUAUCGCUUCUCGGCCUUUUGGCUAAGAUCAAGUGUAGUAUCUGUUCUUAUCAGUUUAAUAUCUGAUACGUCCCCUACCCGGGGACCAUAUAUUAAAUUGAUUUUUGGAAUAGGGAGAUGGAAUAGGGGCUUGCUCCGUCCACUCCACGCAUCGACCUGGUAUUGCAGUACCUCCAGGAACGGUGCACCCCCCAAAACUGUACAAUGUAAAAUACCAUGGCAGAAGAGUGCAUAGUGUGCUUGAUCAUAGUUUUCGGUAUCUCAUAAAGCAUCGAGAGAUAAAUCUCGCACCUCUGGAAUUUUGUAAAUAGCGUUUACGCACCUCAAAGUUCCCUGCGCCUUGUAUUCUUCCGUUGGAAUAAUCCGAAAUAAACUUGGUGUAAUUUUAAAACUGUUAAAACUAUGUUUCCUAUUGUUGAACAUAUAAACGCCGUAGUCUGAAUAAUUUUCAUCCGCGCUGUAUUAUGGUCUGACCAUCCAAUCAGUGCCUUGCGGCUGCAGCAGCGAGACAAUCAGGAUCCAGGAGGUAUUUAAACACAUACACGUUGUGGAUUAGCCUGCCUGCCUGUUCGGAAUGUGUAAUAUUCGUGUGCGUGCACUGACAUUUAAUUGUCUAAGUACGACACGUACCAGUGAGUUUCUUUUAGUCGGCGCUGUAUGCGUCCAUCUUUAUUAGUGCAUAUUUACUUCUGCGCAUAAACGCGCACCUUGAUGACCUCAUCACAACAUGACAGACAUUUGAACCGGAAGUAUCCAAGAUACUACAGAAUGGAUUACCGCCGGUAAUUAGCAAUGGAUAUCAGGCGAUAUUUGAAGAGACCAUCGAGUGCUCCCACUCCCACAGAUGCCCGCAAAAGGCCUCAAGUACAAAGUAAGACUUAAGAAGAUCAAUUCACGUUUUUAAACGUUGUUUUGGUUCGCACAACAUCGCAUUAAGACGGGGACAAACGCUAUUAAUAACAUGCUUUCAAAUACGAUGAUGCAGCCAGCCUUCCCGGUCCCAUCUAAAUAGGCCUAAUAAAAUGAGUAAUUAUCCUCAUGCAUAUUGCUGCAGAUUAGGCUAAUUCAUUGAAAAAUUGUCAACAGAUUAUGUGCAAGCCAGUUAGACAUAGCUAAGAGAAAUGCUAAGUGAAAUGUUUUAGUUUAGCUAUAGAAUCUUCAAAUUUCGCGGUCAAAGUCAAAUAUAUUAGUUUUUUACUUUCCUGAUGACAUCCUGUCCUGCUCUCGCAUAGAAAACGUGAGCGGGGAGCAAAGCUGUUGCUUCACUGAAUAGGCCUAUAUGCUUAAUCAAUUAUUUGAAGUCAUGAAAGGUGUAGAGUAGCCUGUAAGCGAAAUACAUUGUAAACAUAGAUUAUUUGAAAACAAGUCAGUUCUCAAUGUGAAAAAAAACAUGCUGUAUAGGCUAUUUAUGAUGACGUACAUGAGUGUUCCUUUAACUUAUGUUGUCAGUGUAAUUGACAGGCUGCUUAACUGGUGUUCUCAGCCCCACAACUCUUAAAUUUAACAUAUUUUUUCAGGCAAUGAUGCAGAGAGCACAGGGAGAGGCGAAACACCAGAUCGAAUAGAGAGAGGAUAAUGGCUGAUGAGAGAACAAAAUCAUGACAGUGGAGAACCAAAGAGUGGAGAAGAGGAAAGGGGAGGAAAUGAAAGAAGACCAACAGAGAAUGAAGAAACAGAGAAAGGGGAGACGGAGAAAGAUGAAAUAGAGGGAGUAAGAGAAGAAACGGGCUGGAGAGUGGAGAAUCUGAAUUAGAAUCUGAAGUAGAGGGAGAUACAGAGGAAGAAGAAUCUGAGACUGAAGACCGAGUGAGAGGAGAAAUAGAGAGCAGAUGCCACCCACAUAUCUGGACAGAUAACAUAAUGCAAUAUAGCCAGGACAGCCUUACAGAGUCUCAACGCUUUGUGUUGCGUUGCUUCGCAUCGCGUUGCAUCGCGUCGAGGUCUGUAUGAUCACAAAAUUCAGAGUUUACCCACCUCUAAUUUUACCACUACAGCACUGGCGAAAAGUGGUCGGUGGUAGGUUCUUCCGGUGGUCGGUGGACGGUUGCACCCUGGACAAACCGACCACUAGAAAUGGGUUAUUUAGCAUGCGCGGUCGAUACAUAUGUCCCUUUAUUUUUUUAGCAUUGGCAUGCGUCGCCAGCGCCCUACGCUGUGAACGGCAGCUCGCCACAACCUCGCCAGCGUCCUAUGAUGUGAACGGCAGGUCACAUGAACCGUCGCCACCUUCCUUCAUGAUGAAAUUGCACUUUUAUGUUCAUGAUGAAUUGAAGAGUAAGGCAAAUAGCAUUAAAUAGUAAAUAUUAGAGCAUGGUUACUGAAUGACAAACAAAAUUUGUUAUAUUUUACAACUGUGCGGAGUCUGUGAGUUUGGGGACCUAUGACUAUAUCCUCUGGAGUCGGGAGUGGGUCAGAUAUGGCAAUGUCCAGGUUUUUCUAAAAUGUUAUAUACACAUUACAAUUUUAAUCAAUGUAACUUCUAAAUUUAAAUAACUGCUGUCUCCCACUGUACUAGACUGCGGAAAGGAUUUUUAUGCCAAGGCUGGUCGGUCACCAGAAUCCUGAGACGGGAAACCACUUCAUCCUUUGAGUGACGAAACUUCACAGCACGUCAACAGAUACAGGCCAGGGUUAACAAACAACAAUAACCUAAUGAUAACGCAUAACUAACAAAUGUGAAGACUAAAGUAACAUUACCAGGAGCAAUCGUUUAUCAGUUUCUGUGGUAAUUUUUAGCAACAUGCAACAAAGUAUAAAUAUCUUCAAUUUGUAAAAAAAAAAUUGUGUUUAUAAAUUAAAAGAAAAGCAAUAUUCACUUCAGUGGAGUAACUUGAAUUGUUAGACAGGCGUGUUUAAAAUCAAUUUAAAAUGUAUUUGCAUAAGGUCAUCACUGGAUGACAUUUCUGUAACAAAAAUACUUUGGCUAAUACAGUUAUCAUUGUGCAUGCGGAAUACAUUCAUUAUUAUAUGGCAGAUUAUGGUAUUCUUCAUUCAUCAUUUCAUCACUGGUCCAAUAGGUACUUGACUUCAAAAAGGAGGAGAUAUGAGUGUAUGACUCUCUGAGGAUCAGCACCACCAUACCGGAUGAGGCCAUGAAUAUUCUGAGAAAUUUUUCAGGGAACAGGGAGGUCUUGCGGAAUGGAAUGUGUGUUUCACAAAACAAUGGAGGCAGAGAGACAACAAUAACUGCGCUAUUUUUGUGUGCUCAGCAGCUGAGAAUGAGGUGAAAAACCGAGAUGUCAUCCUCAACCAGUGCCAAACUCUCUCCAAGAUGAUAGCAGGGCUUAGCAUUGAGGUAUACAAGGUAUACAAGGAGACUGGACCACGAAAGACUUCCUUUGUGGGUGUCAUCGAGACCCUGGUACAUAUCUGGCAAAAGAGAUACUAGAGUCCACUCAGGUGGACAGUAUUUUAACGGAUCAAGAGAUUGAGGUAAUGACUUUACCUUUGUUCAUUUUGUUUUCUGGUCUAAAACAGAAUUUAUUUAUUGAUUAACUGCGGCAUGUUCGUUUAAGUAAGUUGUCUAUGACUGACAUACAUGUUUGACAAUGAUGACACUAUAAUUUAUUCAGAGUCUGGAGCAAGAUCUGAUGAAAAGAAACAUUCUGUCAAACAGAAUGUAUCUUUAUAAAAAUAAAGGGUGCGAUCGCAAUUUGGAGGCAUUCUAUGCUGACCACCUGUCAGUUUUCGAUGAUCUUAAGGUUAGAUUUACAUUAGCAUUUUAUUUUAAUAUGUGUACACUGUGAUGAAAAUUGGUGGAUAAUGUCCAAUCCUAUUUUAUUUUAAAGCAAUGGUGUUUCAUAGUAUCCAUAAAAUGCAAAUUCAAAGUCAACCUUGAUAUGAAUAAGUCUUUAAUAAAAUUUCAGACUGCACAACUAGCAGGAAUACUGAAAUACAUUGUGGGUAAAAAAGAGCCUGCAGUGGAUAGCGAUACCUAUAUCAAUCAUGUCAUCCUGCCAGAGGUAAGUUGAAACAAAACAAGUAAUAAUUCAAUAUAUUUUACCCAUGGAUUUAAUUACAUUAUGACAGAAUACAGCAUGACCUUAAAAAUGAACGGCAAAUUUAUUUCAGGUAAACAUUGAGUGGCUGAGGCAGAAAUUCUGCAUAUCCAGAUACGAAGCUGGAUGUAUUCUACUCAGCGUAACCAAGACUUAUGUAUAAGCAAAAUUUACCGCAUUAGUAACUGAGAAAUUAAGAUUGCAGUGACAAUUUAAUCAUUCCAAAGUCGUUCUUCUGUGAUGUUUUGGCAAUUAGCCGUAUGAAGAGGAAUUGUCAAACCUUCAUAAAAGAUGUUUCAGCCUUAUGACAUUUCACAUUAAUACAUUUAUACAUCUUUAUAUUUAAAAAUACAUUUUUAAUUAGAACACCUGCAUAUACAUGAAAAGGCAAGACCAAAAUGAUAGUGUCCAACAAAUAUUGAUUGAAUUAUUCUAACAAAUGUUAUAGAAAUGAUUCCAUAACAUGAGAUGGUCACUUUGAGGUUUCACAAAACAAUUUACAGCAGUAUAAGUUAGAACGCAAGAUACAUAGCAGAAAUUUAAACAAAGUCAAGAACUAAAAUUAAAAUAAGCUGUAAUAGGAUAUAGCCCAAAAUAAUACACAAUAACUAAAUUAUUAAUGUGGCCUAUAAACAGACAUAUAUUGUUUAAACUGUUAUUGCAAAGUGUAUUUAUACUGAAAAGAUUUAGAAGUUCUACAAUAUGCACGUUUUCAACAUUAUACUUAAAUUUAUUAUUAAUGCUGCUAAAGCUUUAAUUAAAAAGGAAAAAAAAUUGAAUGCAUUUUCAAUGAAUGACCGGGUUCACCAUGACUCGUCUGAACCCCUGUGUGGGCAGCAGCCAAUGGAGCAGACCGUGAAAACAACACACAUGGAAGCGGUAAAUUGUUUUUCAAUGUUAAUAUAUUUACAAUAAUUGCUGUUUAUAUUGACAUCCACAGACAUCAUGUUGCUACCAGAUGACUAUAUUGUAGAAGUAAAGAAAUAAAAUAAGAAACUUAUUACGGAAUGAUUUCAAACCAAUACUGUUUUUUUCAAAAUAUUUUUCAUAAUGUUACUAUACAGCUCAGUGUGGAACUGUUGGAGGCCAUUUUUGUCGAGGCAGUUCUGCUUGAUGGGGACAAAAUGAUCGGGUCAUUGGCACUAGUGUCCAAAAGAUGGAAGGCUAUUGUCUCUACUGAAGAGUUUCGGAGGAAAGCCUACUAUCGAUGGCUGAAAAGUAAGUAACCAUGUAGAGUAUCUUGGCUUAUCUACUUUUGUGUUCAUUUUUACUUUUACUUUACUUAUGUGUGUGUGGAGAUGGGGGGGGGGGAUCUUAAAAAUAUUUGAUAGUUGAGACAAGAGUCGUUUCCUUGUUUUACCCACAGACAUAUUAGUUAAUGUUGACAAUCAAAUAUUAAAUUAUGAAUUGAAAUGUAUACACGACCCCUCCUGGCAGGAAAGGGACACUGUGACUGAAGACCCCAUCAAUGAGGUAAAAUGUGGUGGUAUUAGUCUAAUUUAGAACCCGCAUUUUCAUGAGGUCAAAGGGGGAAUACACUGAUAUGGAUCCUUUAUAAGUUGGUGGAAAAUUGUUAAGGAUUGAAUAAGACUGACCUAACGUUCAUAGAUGUAGAUGUAAUCACAGAGAUUGACAGGCCGUGCAUAUGACCAGAACAGACUGACAGGUCGUUCAUUACAUUAGCUGACACUUUUAUCCAAAGCGACUAAGACUAAGUGCAUUUCAAACAUAAGGAUACAAACUCAACAUAAACAUAAAAGUGCGAUUUCAGGUGGCGGCGGUUCAUGUGACCGGCUGUUCGCAGCGUAGGACGCUGGCGAUAAUCAAAGAGGCAGGGCGACGCUAAAACAAUAAAGGGACAUAUGUAUCGACCGCGCAUGCUAAAUAACCCCUUUUUCUAGUGGUCGAGUGAACAGUUUGUCC